CCGUUGCUAGGGAAGUGAGGUCACGCAGUAUGGCGGCCGGCAGCCGGAGAGGCUGAGCGGCCGGUCCUGCGGGGAAUCCGCGUCCAUCCUUCCCGGGAGCUACGGCGACGGUGCUGCCUGUCUCACUAGUAUCGAGCGCGAUCAAAGCCGCGAUGGCAUCGGGAACCGCAGGGCUGUGAGGCGGCAGAGCGCGAGCCGGCGGGGCGGGUCGCGGACGAGCCGAGUUGCCGCCAUGGAGCUGAGGGUUGGGAACCGGUACCGGCUGGGCCGGAAGAUUGGGAGCGGCUCCUUCGGGGACAUCUACCUGGGAACUGAUAUUGCUGCCGGGGAGGAGGUUGCAAUUAAGUUGGAAUGUGUGAAAACCAAACAUCCUCAGCUCCACAUCGAGAGUAAAAUCUACAAAAUGAUGCAGGGUGGAGUGGGUAUUCCCACAAUUAAGUGGUGUGGAGCGGAAGGGGACUACAAUGUAAUGGUGAUGGAGCUGUUGGGACCAAGUCUUGAAGAUCUCUUCAAUUUUUGUUCAAGGAAAUUUAGUCUCAAGACAGUCCUAUUGCUUGCUGACCAAAUGAUUAGUCGGAUUGAAUAUAUUCACUCUAAGAACUUCAUUCACCGAGAUGUGAAGCCAGAUAACUUCUUAAUGGGCCUGGGGAAGAAAGGCAAUCUUGUCUACAUAAUAGACUUUGGAUUGGCAAAGAAGUAUCGAGAUGCUCGAACUCACCAACAUAUUCCAUAUCGUGAAAAUAAAAACUUAACAGGAACUGCCCGUUAUGCAUCCAUCAACACUCAUCUUGGAAUUGAGCAAUCUCGCAGAGAUGACUUGGAGUCCUUGGGCUAUGUACUGAUGUAUUUUAACCUGGGCUCCCUCCCCUGGCAGGGACUGAAAGCAGCAACAAAGAGGCAGAAAUACGAACGUAUCAGUGAAAAGAAAAUGUCUACACCCAUUGAGGUUUUGUGUAAAGGAUAUCCUUCUGAAUUUGCCACGUACUUGAAUUUCUGCCGUUCUUUGCGUUUUGAUGACAAACCGGACUAUUCCUAUCUAAGGCAAUUAUUCAGAAACCUCUUCCACCGACAAGGGUUCUCGUAUGACUAUGUGUUUGACUGGAACAUGCUGAAAUUUGGUGCAAGCAGGGCGGCUGAAGAUGCUGAACGUGAAAGACGAGAACGAGAGGAAAGAUUGAGACAUACACGAAAUCCAGCUGUGCGUGGAUUACCCUCCACUGCUUCUGGCAGGCUGAGAGGAACGCAAGAUGUAGCUCCUCCUACUCCUCUUACCCCAACUUCACAUGCUGCCAACACCUCUCCUCGGCCAGUAUCUGGUAUGGAACGAGAAAGGAAAGUGAGUAUGAGAUUGCAUCGCGGUGCCCCAGUCAAUAUCUCGUCGUCUGACUUAACAGGCCGACAAGAUACCUCUCGCAUGUCAACUUCACAGAAUAGCAUUCCUUUCGAACACCAUGGCAAGUAGCUGCUCGUCUCCUUUCGUUGGAAGGCAGCACUGGGGAUGUUCAUGCGGCAGUGUGUCAUCCAUUCAAAACCAGAUCGGCUUCAGAAUUGUAAAAUCAAAAUACUUGUAUGAAGACUCAAUUGACUGUAUUACUCGAAUAAGGCUCUGUCUUGUCGUGAAUGGAACGUUCUGCUACAGCUGUAUCCAUUUCUCCCUGGUUUAUAUUCUUAUCCAUUCCUUAUGAGCUGUCAUUUUAAAAAUAGUCAGAUCUAUUCAGAUCUAUAUUUUAAAAAUGUUCACACACUAAUGAGAAUAGUUUGAACACGAGCAUCUCGGAGGUAGGCAGACUUGGAUCUGGGUAUUUAGAACUCCUUUCCACUUUUCAGUGCAGUAGAAGUUUCUGCCUUUCUGUGUGCAGCUUUUGGCUUUUUAGUCUGUUCUGCUUUUGGCAUUAACGGGUUUCAUCAGGGAAAUAACAAGUUUCAGUUGGAAUCUGAACCUUGAUGGCUGAAGGAUGCUUUCUUAAGUAUUUCAGGAGCUUCUUUGCUUUGCUUCUUAUUAAAAAAAGGCUGUGAGAUUUUUCUGUUCCUUAAGAAAUUCUGUUGUAUAACUGUCUGCUGCCUCACGUUCUCUAUAAAGCCUAAGCUUGCACUAAUCCCGUAUCUCUAGUUGGUGAAGAAUCCUGCUGUUCCUCUUCUGUUUUCUCCUCCUGCUUUGUGUGCUUGGCUGACUGUGCACAAGCUGCUUCGUAGUUUGUAACAUUAAAAAGAUCCAACUGUAAAUGGCAGCUUAACACUUUUAAAUUACAAUUAUCAGACCUUGGUCAAAAAUAAAUAAAAAAUUAAAAAAAAAGGGGGGGGGGGGCAAACGUAGAGCUUUGCGUUGGAAAGAAAGCUUGUGUGCGGGAGACGUGCAGAUUCUGGUCUGCUUAGGGUUACGUCUGCAUUGGUUGGCCUUUACUGUAUGCCUUACUAUUUGUAGCUGUUUACAACUGAAAUUAAUACUGAAUACCGAUUCAGCUACUUCGACGUUUCUCGCUUCUUAAAUUGCAGUGACGUAUGGUGGUCGUUUUUCACUUUCACAGUGAAAGUGUUACUGAAAUAGUGUUACACUGUUAUUGAAAUAGGUCAAGCUAUGGAAAUAAAUGAAGUGUCUUUUAACACAAUGUCCCAUGAAAAAUUAAAAGCCAUUGAAAAUAAUUAAAUUUUGUUACCCUCUUAUUGGAAUUUUUUUUUUCCAACUUAAUUAUUCAUUGAGUCUGUUUCUACACAUUGGUGGUGUUUUCAUCUGGUUUGUUCUUUCUUCUGUGCAUGUUUAUGCUCUGUUUACUUUUCUUCAAAACAUCCCCUCUGGCUGGAAAGGUGAAUUUUCCAUGUUAACUUCUAAUAAAGAAGGAAAAUACAGGGAACUUCGUGUAGCUACAGAUUCCUGCUCGGGUAACUACCAGUGUUCUCCAGUCUGCUGUGCACCGAUGAAAAUUAUUUUGCCAUGGAGGGCAGAUAAUGCAUGGCUGAUCUCCUAUGUUACCAAUGGCUUUACUAGCAAAAAUACCUUGAACUAGAGCGGAAACAUUACAGUUGGAGUUCUCCAUGUGACUUAAAAGGUACUUGGAGGAACAUGGACAGACUCCAGCAGCUGCCAUUACAGGAUGCUUUUGCCAGAAACCCAAUGACCUUAAGAGAACCCUGUGGUAACAGGGCUGGAAAAGAAAGAUGGUUUACAGAGUUGACCGCCUGUUAUCGGACGGCCGUUUCAGUUUUCCCUCCACAGGCGGCAGACUUUACCCCCUUUUUAUUAUUCUACUGUAACUAUAAAUCUUUUACUUGGUUUAAGAAAGUUUUUUGUAUCAUUUUGCUAAAAUUAUUGGCUUAAUUCUCUGUAAAGAACUCUUGCUUUUGUCUGAUUUAAAAAUGUAGAAUAUAAAGAAACCUAAACUAAAGACAAUGACUUGAAAUUUCUUGUUUAAAAAAAUUAGUCUGGCAGGGAACAUGUAAAUGAAUCAAAACCAUCUGACUUUAUUUAAACUGUUUACUUAUUUGUAUGGUCCCAUUCUGACUGAGACGGUUUUCUCAUGAAAUUUUAAAAACUGUUAGAAUUUUACUUUGCUGUUUGCUGUCUUCGUUCACACUUAACAUUUAACUUUCCGUGUACCACAAAGGAAUUUUUAAUAAUUGUUCUUUUUCAUAAAAGAGGAAAACUAAAUACCCUGCUGGAGAGUGUAAGUAUAGUAGAGAUGGUGAUAAUGGAUUUCUUUUUUUGUAAAGAAAAUGAAGGACAAAGUGAAAGACUCUGGCAUUUGAGGGAUUUAGAAUUUGAAAGUUUGUCCUAUCUCUCUGCUUAGUUUGGGUGAAUGGAUAGUUUCAAACGUCACUUUUAUUUUGUUUCCUGCACUCUGAGGCUGGUUAGCUUAGAGGGUAUUGCAAGUGGAAAAUACGUGUUGCUACUGAGUCUUUGGUGAAUUUGCACGUUUCAUUCAGCAUCUACAUGUUUAAAAAUAAAUAAAUAAAUUGAUUCAGGCCUUCUGUUUCAUGCCGAGACUCAAAAAAGGAAUUCUUUAAAAAAAAAAAAAAAAAACCAAA